AGUCGAACGGUAACAUUUCUAGCUUGCUAGAAGAUGACGAGUGGCGGACGGGUGAGUAAUGCUUGGGAACUUGCCUUUGCGAGGGGGAUAACAGUUGGAAACGACCGCUAAUACCGCAUAAUGUCUUCGGACCAAACGGGGCUUCGGCUCCGGCGCAAAGAGAGGCCCAAGUGAGAUUAGCUAGUUGGUAAGGUAACGGCUUACCAAGGCGACGAUCUCUAGCUGUUCUGAGAGGAAGAUCAGCCACACUGGGACUGAGACACGGCCCAGACUCCUACGGGAGGCAGCAGUGGGGAAUAUUGCACAAUGGGGGAAACCCUGAUGCAGCCAUGCCGCGUGUGUGAAGAAGGCCUUCGGGUUGUAAAGCACUUUCAGUUGUGAGGAAAAGUUAGUAGUCAAUACCUGCUAGCCGUGACGUUAACAACAGAAGAAGCACCGGCUAACUCCGUGCCAGCAGCCGCGGUAAUACGGAGGGUGCGAGCGUUAAUCGGAAUUACUGGGCGUAAAGCGCACGCAGGCGGUUUGUUAAGCUAGAUGUGAAAGCCCCGGGCUCAACCUGGGAUGGUCAUUUAGAACUGGCAGACUAGAGUCUUGGAGAGGGGAGUGGAAUUCCAGGUGUAGCGGUGAAAUGCGUAGAUAUCUGGAGGAACAUCAGUGGCGAA
rnacentral:rRNA from 1 species